GUGCCGGUCAGUGCCUCUUUAUGAAGUUCUUUGUGCUUCGCUCGCAGCAUUUAUGAAAUUGCUGCACCUGCUUCAACUCGUCGUACACCUUGGCUGUGAGAAGGGGCCAGAGGGCACCUCCAACGUUCACUGCAUGGAGUGACAGUUCUGGCUGUGCUGGCAUGCCUCAAAGAAGCCAAUUGUGCCUGUGACUAUAACUGUCCACAAUACGUAUCACCUAUAUGUGGAAGGGACUCUUAUGGUACUGGUACCACAUCUGCUUUCAUCAAUUAUUGUGAAAUGCAGCGUUUCAACUGCAGAAACAAUAAAAGUUUUGUGACCACUAGUCGAGACCUCUGCCCUGCAUUAAAAAAACAGUAACAGAAUUUGUCUUUCUAUAUCUUCUUUCCUAUUUCAUCAUGCAGCAUGAAACAAAAUUUUGUAAUAAGUAAUUGUAAUUGAA